GCGCGCGCAGGCGGCCUUUUAAGUUGGAUGUGAAAGCCUAUGGCUCAACCAUAGAACUGCAUCCAAAACUAUCAGGCUAGAGUGUGGGAGAGGAAGAUGGAAUUAGUUGAGUAGGGGUAAAAUCCGUAGAGAUAACUAGGAAUACCAAAAGCGAAGGCAAUCUUCUGGAACAUUACUGACGCUGAGGCGCGAAAGCGUGGGGAGCAAACAGGAUUAGAUACCCUGGUAGUCCACGCCCUAAACGAUGAAUGUUAGUCGUCGGGUAGCUAGUCUAUUCGGUGAUGCAGCUAACGCAUUAAACAUUCCGCCUGGUGAGUACGGUCGCAAGAUUAAAACUCAAAGGAAUAGACGGGGACCCGCACAAGUGGUGGAGCAUGUGGUUUAAUUCGAAGAUACGCGAAGAACCUUACCUAGCCUUGACAUAUUUUAGAACACUUUAGAGAUAGAGUGGUGCCUUCGGGAGCUAAUAUACAGGUGCUGCACGGCUGUCGUCAGCUCGUGUCGUGAGAUGUUUGGUUAAGUCCCGCAACGAGCGCAACCCUCGUCACUAGUUACUAACGGUUCGGCCGAGGACUCUAGUGAGACUGCCUUCGCAAGGAGGAGGAAGGUGAGGACGACGUCAAGUCAUCAUGGCCCUUACGGCUAGGGCAACACACGUGCUACAAUGGCCAGGACAAUGAGAAGCGAUACCGCGAGGUG
rnacentral:rRNA from 1 species